CCAGAAGAUGCUUUGGGACCAGAGUCCUCUCCUCUGUGUGCACCACACCGCUUGGUCCCUUCAGGAACUGCCUGAGAUGCAGAUGCUUCAGUCUGUGCAGUGUACCACCUCAUCUCGAAGGCUGAGACUCCAUCUCUCAGUCCCACCCUAAAGCUGAGGACGCUUCCGUCGACCUCUGACCUCUUGACUGUUUGUGUCCUGUGUUAGGAAAAUCUCUUUCCCACAAAAAUGUAAACCUAGAAAGAGUAAGUAAGGUAUGACCCCCAUUACAGAAGAACUCAUUUUUUGCUUAUCAAAAAAAAAAAAAAGCAAAAACCCAGUUUCCUUCGCCACAAAGUUGCAUAGUAUGGAGAAAUCUGUCACUUUUAAAAUUAGGUUCAUUUGAUCAAAGUUUGACUCACAGUUUGCGCUGUACAGCUGUUAGGUUGCUUUGCCUUAUUUGAUCAUAUUUGAACGAUGAUUUCCUGUGUUUGAUCUGUGUCUCAAUGAAUUAGAGUGACUCAGACCUUUCCCACUGGCCCCUCUGGCCCACACGACAGUCUCUGGAAGGUUGGUUUUGAUCAGCCUUUGAAGAUUGGUCUCAGUUUCCUUAAUUUGUGUCAGAGAAUCUGGAGUGUUGUUAUCAGGCGAGUUCUGAACCUUGCUUUUUAUCCUAAACCAAAUGUCCCUAUCUAAGGGUGUCUCUCCCUUCGUUUUGGAAGCAUUAGAGGUUUCAUACUUCUUUUGUCAAACACCCAUUUGUGUUUAUUUCUGUAGAUAGAACUGUAGACACAGUUACAUUAAGUAGAGUCUCUGUGAUUUGAGCAGUAUUGUUGCUCUUUUGGUGAAUCUAGGCUCCAAGUCCUGCUCUAUCCUUUUGUCUUUAGAAAACUGAGAUCAAAGGUACAGUUUUUUGAAGGUAAAAAUAGUUAAUUUUCAGGUAUCUGUAGUUUUUAAGGAAAAAACAGUUGUUACGGAGACAUGCACACGGUUUAUGAAAUAACUAAAUAACGAGAGAAGGUCCGUUGGCAACAAUGACAGUGUCAUGAUUCUCUUUCUUCCCUCACUUGUUCCCUUCUGUUCAAGAGUUCUCUGGAAAUUGCUUUACUCCUUUCAGCUGGGUGGUUUUUAUGUUGGGCAACUCUCAUAGCUUUUAUCACUAGGGUUGAUUUGCACAGAUCCUGACCCAAGGCAACAGUAUCCAUCUGUGCUAUUUUUGACCCACUGAAUUCACCUAAAAAUUGUAAGUGCUGACACGGUGCUGCCUUGGGUUUUGGUUAAGAAAAGCGUCUCUGGUUUAGAGGAUCAGUAAUAACACAGUAUCCUGAGCUGCAGACUUUCUGUCUUACUGGUUUUAUUUUAAAAAUGGCUAGAUUGGGUACCACUUAGGACCAGUAGGUCAAUAGCUGCAUCGCCAGACAGAUUGGGUGCUUCAUGUGGACCAGAGGGAUGUGUUGAAGAAAAAGUUCUAAUCGACAUUUGCUGAAAACCACUUUGCAGUGGGAGAUGGAAAACAAAAAGUGUUUUAAAUGACAGAAAAAAAAAGAUCAUCUCAUUUGUUGUUCAGAAUGGGAGCCUGCAUGAGGUCUGGAAGCAUAAACCACCCCUAGUCGUGACCAUCGAAAGCUGUUUUACUGCUCUGCAUUCCGGUUUGAAUAGUUUGUAUUGGAACUUGAUUCAUAUCUUGUGUCUGUUCUGGUGCGUAGAAGAGAAAAGUUGGUGUUUUUACUUUUGAAAUUUGCAGGACAAGAGGGCAUUUAUAUUUUAAUUUUUAUUCUAAAUGAAAAAAACCCCUUUUUACUUGAAAAAAUUGUAAGCCACAUUGUUAAUAAAGUAAGAAUAAAUUCUAUGGUUCUGUUUGUG
ensembl:lncRNA